UGCAUAGGGGCCAAAGGUUUCUUUUAGCCUUGAAGACCCAGUGAUGAGCACAUGCUCUGAAUUAUUCUCCAAAUUAACUGCUUCCUGGGAGAAGAGCAGUACUGGCCAUCCAAUGGUGUGUCAAACAGGGCUCGGAAAGCUGCACCUGUGAGACUUAGGGGGUCAUCUUCUUAGGUCUAAGUUAUAGGGAGGCAGGUUAUAUACAGCUCAAAAUAAGAAGCCGCCUUCUAAAAGUCACAGGUGUCUUGGGAUGGAAUGGGCUGCCUCAUAAGGUAGUGAGUCCACCAGCACCAAAGGUAUGCAAGCAGAGCCUGAGCCUGGCUAGAGGAAUUGCUAUUUUAUGCAGGAGACUGGAGGCUACAUGAAAUGAUCACUCAGGCUCCUUCCACUUGUGAGAUUCUAUUUCAUGAUUUCCAAAAGGAGACAUUAUUGGAAAUGCAGAAGGAGGCUGAUAGAAUCUUCCCUCAAUGCAACCCCUCCAGAUUAAUUCUCCUCACUCCAGACUUGGUGGGUAACCAGAACCACGCUAUGAGACAGUGUAGUCCCUGUCCUGUCGUGGCCACAGGCUCCAUCGAAGAUUCAAAGGUAGGAGCAGAGCCUCAGGUUUGGGAGUCAAUAAAGGAGUCAUCAGAGAUCUGAAAGACUUCAGCAAUGGCCACAGUAAAGACCCAAGGAGGGCUCAGGGUGGCUGCAAAACAGACCUGCCAAUGACAGAUGCACCUUGGAGGCUGUGGGGGUUGUGGCCAGUGGUGGGACAAGUGAGCACACUGGGUGUGUGUCUGCAUUUGAUCAAGGCUCCGGGAUGAAGCCCAGGCUCUUUGCCAUGGUAUUCAAGGCUUUUCCCCAUCUGGCCUCACCCGCCCUUUUGGUCUCAUCUGCCACCACAAUACGUCCCACAAACCCUGAAUCUGAGCACCACACAUCCAUGCUUCCACCCCUCUGGGCCUUUCACAUGCUGCUUGCUCUGCUGGGAAUCUACUUCUCCACUCGAACAAAUGCUACUCAUCGUCAGAGCUCCUGCUCCCACGUUGCCUCCUCCGUGAAGCCCUCACCGAUCCUUCCCUCCGCACGCCUCGUGAGAUGAACCGCUGCCUUCUUAGCGUCUUCCUCAUUUUUAUGCAUAAUAUGGUACCCUUUUAUGAACGUAUUAUAUUUGUAGGAAACUUUUCUGAGUCCCCAAAAGAUGCCUCACCCCGAGAAUCAAAUGUAAAUCAACCAGACACAGUCCAUGCCCUCAAAUACAUUAUGGGGAAUAGAGACAAGUAAGCCACUGGCUUUAAUGCGACAGCAUCCUCUGAGGACAGCGGAGAAGCGCUUAUCCUGACAUGAGGAGUCAGAGUACACCUCCUGGAAGAAGUGGGGUUCUGACAGCUGCAAGAUGAGCAGGGGCCAGGAGAGGAGAGCAGAGAGAGG
rnacentral:lncRNA from 1 species